GACGAACCGUGCGAACGUUAUUCGGAAUCAUUGGGCUUAAAGAGCGCGUAGGCGGCGAGGCAAGUGAGAGGUGAAAUCCUAUCGGCUCAACCGUGGAACAGCCUUUCAUACUGCCUUGCUCGAGGGAGGUAGGGGUCGAUGGAACUUCCGGUGGAGCGGUGAAAUGUGUUGAGAUCGGAAGGAACGCCAGUGGCGAAAGCGAUCGACUGGAUCUUUUCUGACGCUGAGGCGCGAAAGCUAGGGGAGCGAA
rnacentral:rRNA from 1 species